rnacentral:rRNA from 1 species
CCUACGGGAGGCAGCAGUGAGGAAUAUUGGUCAAUGGACGCAAGUCUGAACCAGCCAUGCCGCGUGCAGGAAGACGGCUCUAUGAGUUGUAAACUGCUUUUGUACGAGGGUAAACGCAGAUACGCGUAUCUGUCUGAAAGUAUCGUACGAUUAAGGCACGGCAAACUCCGUGCCAGCAGCCGCGGUAAUACGGAGGAUUCAAGCGUUAUCCGGAUUUAUUGGGUUUAACGGGUGCGUAGGCGGUCGGAUAAGUUAGAGGGGAAAUCCCGAGGCUCAACUUCGGAAUUGCCUCUGAUACUGUUCGGCUAGAGAGUAGUUGCGGUAGGCGGAAUGUAUGGUGUAGCGGUGAAAUGCUUAGAGAUCAUACAGAACACCGAUUGCGAAGGCAGCUUACCAAGCUACUUCUGACGUUGAGGCACGAAAGCGUGGGGAGCAAACAGGAUUAGAUACCCGGUAGUC